rnacentral:rRNA from 1 species
GAUGAACGCUGGCGGCAUGCCUAAUACAUGCAAGUCGAACGAAGGAUCCCUUCGGGGGUCUUUAGUGGCGAACGGGUGAGUAAGACGUAAGGAACCUGCCCCUAUGCCUGGGAUAACUCUGGGAAACGAGAGCUAAUACCGGAUAGGUGAACGGAAGACAUCUUCGGUUCAUGAAAGAUGGGGAACAUCACAGAGGGAUGGCCUUACGGCGCAUUAGCUAGUUGGAGAGGUAGAGGCUCACCAAGGCGAUGAUGCGUAGCCGGCCUGAGAGGGUGAACGGCCACAUUGGGACUGAGACACGGCCCAG